rnacentral:rRNA from 1 species
UACGAAGGGGGCUAGCGUUGCUCGGAAUUACUGGGCGUAAAGCGCACGUAGGCGGCUUUGUAAGUUAGGGGUGAAAGCCCGGAGCUCAACUCCGGAAUUGCCUUUAAGACUGCAUCGCUUGAAUCCGGGAGAGGUGAGUGGAAUUCCGAGUGUAGAGGUGAAAUUCGUAGAUAUUCGGAAGAACACCAGUGGCGAAGGCGGCUCACUGGCCCGGUACUGACGCUGAGGUGCGAAAGCGUGGGGAGCAAACAGG